rnacentral:lncRNA from 1 species
AUGAUGUACGUUCCAGGCAACCUUUCUGGGUGGUCCACUGUGAGAGAGGAGUUCCCAGGUCUUCUCUGCGAGGUGGGUCACGGCAAGGCUCUGGCAGUCACUGGUGAACAAAAUCAGCAUGGGCCCCGCCUUUGGGAAGCUUGGAGCCUUGUGGAGGAGACAGACAGUCAACAAAUAUUCCGCCAAAUAUCUGUAAUCACGCGUUACAUCCCGUGUUACGAAGAGACAGUGUCCUGGAUGAGGACAAAAACCCCACUUGUCAGAGGCCAGCCCACCAGGCUCAUCACCUGCAUGCCAAGGGUCCAGACGACUGAAGAGCUAAUGAAGCUUGUGCUUAGAACAGUGCCCUGCACAGUAACCACUCCGCAAAGAUGCAGCAGAACGGACUGAGGUGGGAAUGUGGCUGAACAGCCAUUCCUUCUGCCGAGGGAUCUGUCCGCAGGCAGGGAUCCUCCCAUGGAUGAACAGGAGAUAUGAGUAUCAAUAAUAGCUCAUUUUAUUAAGCAUUUUCUUUGGGCCAAUUUAUUACCAUAUCCCCCUUAUAAAAAGCCUAGAGGUAGGCACCAUUACCCAUCCAGUUUUACACAUCAGGAAAUUGCAUGUUGGAGAGGUUAAGUUCAAGGUCCCAGGACCAAGAGUGGUGGAGACUGAAUUCUAACCCAGUGUCUGGACUCUAGAACCUUCUUUUGUAAUCACCAGCCUCCCUGCAUGUUCACUCCUGUCCUUCUCUAGAAUCGUCAUCACCGUAGCCACCACUGAUUGAACACCUAUAAUCAGUACAGAUGUUAUGCCAUGUGACUUUCCCAGCAAUCCUAUGAAGGAGAUGUUUGCACAUCCAUUUUACAAAUGAGAAAGCUGAGUUAGAAUAAGUAUGUCAUGCAGAGUUAAUUGGCUAUGAAAGGAGCAGAUGGGAUUCAGAUAUUACAUAUAUUCUCCUUAUAGUUCCUUGAACACUAUACAAUGGGCCACCUGCUUUAUAAGCAUUAACUCUUUUAAGAGCUCUGUGAGGCAGGUGACACUAGAAUUCCCAUCUUAACAGACAGGAAGACGGAGGCAGAGAGAAAUUAAGAAACUCCCACCCAGGACUCACAAGUAAGAUUAGCAGAGCUGGGGAGAGGGUGGUUGGGUUAUGGACACGGGGGAGGGUAUGUGCUACGGUGAGUGCUGUGAAAUGUAUAAGCCUGAUGAUUCACAGACCAGUACCCCUGGGGCAAAUAAUACAUUAUACGUUAAUAAAAAUAAUUUAAAAAACAAGAGUGGCAGAGCUGGAUUUUGAAGGCAGCACUCAGUCCAGCUCGAGCGCCUGAGCUCCCAGCUUCUAGAGCACUACAUUGAUAUAAGAAAUGAAUGAUGCCAGCAAGGUGAGGGGAAGUGGGGAGGGUUUCAGAGGCAGAGGGAAUUACCUCUGCGUGGGUUAAAGGCUAAGGGAGCCCAGGAACUACAAAAGCUCUGGAAAAAGGAACUCUCCACCCACAUGGAUUGAAGCAGUCCCCCAGAGCCCUGCCUGGCUCUCUCCUCCAAAAGGGGUCGGCCACCCUAGAGAAUUUUCCAACAUUGAGCAAUGGUGUAGGUGUUUUGUUUCCCUUAGGCCCACUGAGAUGCAUCAUGAGGAAAUUGCCUUAGUUAGACUCUUGAGCAAGCUGAUUCCACUAUUCAGCUACAAAAUCCUCAGAAGAGAUGGAAGUCAAGUGUUUUAAAUGGCCAGUUGUAUUGAAAUAUCCAGGAGGGGGGAAAAAAGGCCUUUUGUCAGGAAAGACAGAAACAAACAUGUAUUGAGCAGUGACCACAUGCUGGAACGUGGGAGUUGUUAAACCUCAUAAUAACCUUUGAAAUGGUGAUUCACCCCAUUUUACAGAGAAAUAAACCAAGGGACAGAGCAGCAGAAUCAUGUCCCCAACUCAAGUAGCAAGUAAAGGAUCCUAGAUAUGGCCCAAGGCCCAUAUAUAUGCCUUUAGGCUACAUGUUCUCAGCUGGAUCUCUGUUGCCUUUCAUUCUUCUAUGACUGAUCCAUAUGGUUUCAG